CACUAAGAAGCUAUUUAGGCCUGUAGCAUUAGCCUUUUAAGCUAAAGAUUGGUGACUGCCACCCACCCCUAGUGA
rnacentral:tRNA from 1 species